GGUGUACGUAGUUCAGUUGGUUAGAAUUCUGGCUUGUGACGUCGGAGGUCGAGGGUUCAAGUCCCUCCGUACACCCCAA
rnacentral:tRNA from 1 species